rnacentral:rRNA from 1 species
CUUUCUUUGCUGGCGACCGGCGCACGGGUGAGUAACACGUAUCCAACCUGCCGAUGACUCGGGGAUAGCCUUUCGAAAGAAAGAUUAAUACCCGAUGGCAUAGUUCUUCCGCAUGGUAGAACUAUUAAAGAAUUUCGGUCAUCGAUGGGGAUGCGUUCCAUUAGGUUGUUGGCGGGGUAACGGCCCACCAAGCCUUCGAUGGAUAGGGGUUCUGAGAGGAAGGUCCCCCACAUUGGAACUGAGACACGGUCCAAACUCCUACGGGAGGCAGCAUG